AGCUGGUCUGAAGGUAAUGAGUUAUCUCAACUGAUUGGUCAUAGCCAAUUACAGAUAGAACUCAUUAUUUUACUUCCCCACAUCCCCACUACUGCACUUGACUAGUCGAAA
ensembl:misc_RNA Y_RNA Y RNA